rnacentral:rRNA from 1 species
UGGGGAAUUUUGGACAAUGGGCGAAAGCCUGAUCCAGCAAUGCCGCGUGUGUGAAGAAGGCCUUCGGGUUGUAAAGCACUUUUGUCCGGAAAGAAAUCCUUGGCUCUAAUACAGUCGGGGGAUGACGGUACCGGAAGAAUAAGCACCGGCUAACUACGUGCCAGCAGCCGCGGUAAUACGUAGGGUGCAAGCGUUAAUCGGAAUUACUGGGCGUAAAGCGUGCGCAGGCGGUUUGCUAAGACCGAUGUGAAAUCCCCGGGCUCAACCUGGGAACUGCAUUGGUGACUGGCAGGCUAGAGUAUGGCAGGAGGGGGGUAGAAUUCCACGUGUAGCAGUGAAAUGCGUAGAGAUGUGGAGGAAUACCGAUGGCGAAGGCAGCCCCCUGGGCCAAAUACUGACGCUCAUGCACGAAAGCGUGGGGAGCAAACAGGAUUAGAUACCCUGGUAGUCCACGCCCUAAACGAUGUCAACUAGUUGUUGGGGAUUCAUUUCCUUAGUAACGUAGCUAACGCGUGAAGUUGACCGCC